AUAAAGUUAGCUCACUCGGUAGAGCAAUCGUCUCAUAAACGAUCGGUAGUAGGUUCGAUUCCUGCACUUUACACCA
rnacentral:tRNA from 1 species